AACGAACGCUGGCGGCAUGCCUAACACAUGCAAGUCGAACGAUUGCCUUCGGGUGAUAGUGGCGCACGGGUGCGUAACGCGUGGGAAUCUGCCCUUAGGUUCGGAAUAACAGCUGGAAACGGCUGCUAAUACCGGAUGAUAUCGCGAGAUCAAAGAUUUAUCGCCUGAGGAUGAGCCCGCGUUGGAUUAGGUAGUUGGUGGGGUAAAGGCCUACCAAGCCGACGAUCCAUAGCUGGUCUGAGAGGAUGAUCAGCCACACUGGGACUGAGACACGGCCCAGACUCCUACGGGAGGCAGCAGUGGGGAAUAUUGGACAAGGGGCGCAAGCCUGCUCCAGCAAUGCCGCGUGAGUGAUGAAGGCCCUAGGGUUGUAAAGCUCUUUUACCCGGGAAGAUAAUGACUGUACCGGGAGAAUAAGCCCCGGCUAACUCCGUG
rnacentral:rRNA from 1 species